rnacentral:rRNA from 1 species
AAAAAACAUCUCCUUUUGAUUUUUAUUUAAGGUUUAAUCUGCUCANUGAAUAUUAAAUUGCCGCGGUAUUUUGACCGUGCAAAGGUAGCAUAAUAAUUAGUUUCUUGAUUAGAAGCUUGAAUGAAUGAUUGGACGAGAAAAUUACUGUCUCUUUUUAAUUUGUUUUUGAAUUUUAUUUUUAAGUAAAAAAGCUUAAAUUUUAAUAAAAGACGAGAAGACCCUAUAGAGUUUUAUAUUUAAGGUUUAUUUAGUAUUAGGAAUUUUUUUAAAUUUUACUUAUUUAGUUGGGGUGACUGGAGGAUUAAGAUAAUUCCUCUUUUUGUUAAUUGAUGAUUGUUAAAUUGGUUAUCUGAUUUUUUCAAAUAAAAAAUAAAUUACCUUAGGGAUAACAGCGUAAUUUUUCUUUAGAGUUCUUAUUGAAAGAAGAUUUUGCGACCUCGAUGUUGGAUUAAAAUAAAUUUUUGGUGCAGAAGCUAAAAAAUUGGGUCUGUUCGACCUUUGAUAUUUUACAUGAUCUGANUCCCAGACCGGA